rnacentral:rRNA from 1 species
UACGGGGGGGGCAAGCGUUGUUCGGAAUUACUGGGCGUAAAGGGCUCGUAGGCGGCCAACUAAGUCAGACGUGAAAUCCCUCGGCUUAACCGGGGAACUGCGUCUGAUACUGGAUGGCUUGAGUUUGGGAGAGGGGUGCGGAAUUCCAGGUGUAGCGGUGAAAUGCGUAGAUAUCUGGAGGAACACCGGUGGCGAAGGCGGCAUCCUGGACCAACACUGACGCUGAGUGAGCGAAAGCCAGGGGAGCAAACGGG